CUGUCCCAACAAUUUCUAACAGGCUGUGGUCGUGCGCUGCCUCGGUACACUUAUAAUAGCUCGCAAACUGCGCUAAGCCAAUCAGCGUGCGCGCUCUUCCAGCUGACUUGCAAAAGCCUCGAUUUGAUUGGUCCGAAUCUUCCCCUGAGGCACUCUCGGACCAAUCACAACCAACCCCUUAGAAGUCAUGUGGUCAAGUUGACACCAAGACAUCAAGGGGAUGUUGAGAAAAAUGAGUACUUAAUCGCGGAUGUCUUGCUGAGAUGAUGUAUAGAUGGCCUCGGGGCUCUUGACUCUUUGGAGCACAAAGUAGACCAAUUUUAGCCCAAUUAAACAGUGGGGAAGCGCUCAAAGUAUCUGUAUCCGACUGUUGAGAAGUUAAAAGUUUUUUUUUUUUUUUUGAAAAAAGCAUUUCUUAAGUAUAUGGAAACUUUUCAUGGUUGCUUUAUUGAGAAAAGCUUUUGUGAAGGCAGAAAUUGAUUCGAAAGGGCUGUGAGUUACACAAUACUUAGGCAAUUUAAGGCACGUCACGGGCUUUUAAGGUUACAAAAGGCUCAGCUGAGAAGCGAGCAGAGUUUUCUUCUCUCUCAUUUAGAGGGCCAGACGAGCUGCGUUUUGGAAGGCGCCAGGGACGGUGGGAUCAAAAGAGAAGAUCCUGGCAUGCCUGGUUCUGGAGAAGGCCAACUGUUACUCCCAGUGGGGUUAUCUGACAAAGCACUUCAUGAACUGUGCAGCCACUGGCCUCAGACCAGCUGAUACUGCUUAGCCCCAGUCGUAAAGCAAAAGGUCUUUUCAAGCGAUCCAUUAGUGCUCCUAUCCCCAAGAGUGGAGGCCGCGGUUUGCUCAAGCCGCGCAGGAAAGCUUGAAGGAAAACAGCAUGGCAGACAAGUCAGAAGAUCAAAGACCCCCUCAGACGGCAGACCCCGUCUCCAGACAUCCAAUCUCUUCCCCUUCAUGGUUCUAAUUAGCAGAUGGUGGAGAAAUGGCUCAUAUUAUAGCUUUAUCAAUUAGAGAGAGACGUUCAUAUCUUUCUUUCUCUCUCUUUCUCUUGCUGUCGGCCCAUGAGCGUGGCAUAGAUAGAUGAACUGAGAGAAGGAAAGGCAUAUUGAAAGAGAACCGCUGCUUCGGAUUUAAUGU
rnacentral:lncRNA from 1 species